AACGAACGCUGGCGGCGGGCCUCAUACAUGCAAGUCGAGCGCGAAAGUCCGCAAGGAUGAGUAAAGCGGCGCACGGGUGAGUAACACGUGGAUAAUCUACCCUUUGGAUUGGAAUAACCUGUCGAAAGACGGGCUAAUGCCAAGUGAGCUUAUAGUUUCGUGAAGUUACUAUAAGGAAAGAUGGUGCAAGCUAUCGCCGAAGGAUGAGUCUGCGCCCCAUUAGCUAGUUGGUGAGGUAAUGGCUUACCAAGGCAAUGAUGGGUACCUGGUCUGAGAGGAUGACCAGGCACACUGGAACUGAAACACGGUCCAGACUCCUACGGGAGGCAGCAGUAGGGAAUAUUGCGCAAUGGACGAAAGUCUGACGCAGCCACGCCGCGUGAGUGAGGAA
rnacentral:rRNA from 1 species